ACCACAUCCUGCAAAAGUUUUGUCAGGCAACAGGCGAUACCACGAUGGACGCUUAACACCGGUGAGAUUAUCGCUGAAACCGUGUCCUCCAGGGCAAACGCGAACCCGAGAUGGAAGCUGCAGGAGAACCUCCGGUUAAAUAGGAGGGUCACAGACAUCUGAGUAACAUUUAUAAAUAAUAUAUGGGAACCGGUCAUAGCAGCCGGAUAGUCUGAUAAUUUUGGAUUAGAUUCAUGCUUUCAUAGUAGAGGAAAUCAAGAUUGAUGUAUGAUUUGUGAUAAACAUUGAUGAAAAAUUUUUCUAUCCUCAUGUUGUUCCUACAAUUUCCCCAAUUUAUUUCAUAGCUCGUCUCGGUGUGAGGCACAGUUUUUUAAGGACAAUGGGAAAAAGCUGACUGAUUUGAAAGGAGAUUCGUAUUUUUUCUUAUUCAGGGCAAAGUCAUAUUUAACGUCGUUUUGACUCUCGAUUGUGUAGCUUGGGUUGUAGUUUUGCAAUUACGGCGCUUUGGCAAUAUCGAGAGAUUUUUCCUUCCCCUUCUCUAAUCCUGAAUCUUGAGUGAUUAUCACAGUUCAAGGAAAUUACAUACUAUAAGAAGCUGCGCAUCACGGAUAUCUACGUAUGUACACUGUCAAGGUAUAACAUAUUGUUCGUUAAAUGGCAGUGCAAACAUUCAAAGUGUUAAUUGUUAUCAUUUCGAUUGUCGUCAUUUUAUAUGCAAUCGUUGAUGAAAUAAAUGCAGAUAUUAUAACCUUGUCACCUUCGCGAGCUAAUUCGAAAACAGGAGUGCGAUGUUCAAGUGGCCAAGUACGAGCUUUGGAUGGAACCUGCAGACUACGGGUCUUGAAAAAUAAAUUAUUGAAUAGAUCCAUUCUCCGGAAUUGAUAUUUAUCUGGUCUGCUGAAGAGUCUUUGAAAAAUUUUAUCAUACAAAGCCGGAUAUGGAUUGGCCAAUAAAAUAUACAGGAAAUUCAUUCGUGAUGUCCUCCUGCAGGAUGCCUCCCUAGGCAUGAAGAACUUGGUGUACAGUACCCAACAUUCGCUUUGUAAAAUGGCGAUAUUAUAUUAUGACGCGUAAUUUAAAAGAAUAAAAAUAUAAUAACAAAUA